AAGACCUACGGGAGGCAGCAGUGGGGAAUAUUGCACAAUGGGGGAAACCCUGAUGCAGCGACGCCGCGUGAGUGAAGAAGUAUUUCGGUACGUAAAGCUCUAUCAGCAGGGAAGAAAAUGACGGUACCUGACUAAGAAGCCCCGGCUAACUACGUGCCAGCAGCCGCGGUAAUACGUAGGGGGCAAGCGUUAUCCGGAUUUACUGGGUGUAACGGGAGCGUAGACGGCAGCGCAAGUCUGGAGUGAAUUCCCAUGUCUUAACCCUGGAACUGCUUUG
rnacentral:rRNA from 1 species